CUUAAGCCAUGCAUGUGUAAGUACAAACUAAAAAAAAAGUGAAACCGCGAAUGGCUCAUUAAAUCAGCUAUUAUUUAUUGGGUGUACCACUAAUAUAAAAGUUACUUGGAUAACUGUGGUAAUUCUAGAGCUAAUACAUGCACAUAUAGUCCCUCGAAGAAACCUUUAAAUACAUCAAGUAUGAUUUUUAGGUGCUUCAACAGGGCGCUUUUAUUAGUAUCAAAACCGGUAUUUUCGGGCUUCGGUCCGUAAAACCCUAGUAUGAUGACUCUGGAUAAUUUUGAGCUGAGCGCACAGUCUUUUGCACUGGCGCCGCUUCUUUCAAGUGUCUGCCUUAUCAGCUGUCGAUUGUAGGUUAUGUGCCUACAAUGGCUAUAACGGGUAACGGGGAAUCAGGGUUCGAUUCCGGAGAGGGAGCCUGAGAAACGGCUACCACAUCUAAGGAAGGCAGCAGGCACGCAAAUUACCCACUCCCAGCUUGGGGAGGUAGUGACGAAAAAUAACGAUGCGAGACUCAUCCGAGGCCUCGCAAUCGGAAUGAGUACACUUUAAAUCCUUUUGCGAGGAUCAAUUGGAGGGCAAGUCUGGUGCCAGCAGCCGCGGUAAUUCCAGCUCCAAUGGCAUAUAUUAAAGUUGUUGCGGUUAAAAUGCUCGUAGUUGGCUUUUUAACACUGUAGCUGAUGGUUGGCUGUAAAUCCUUUAAUUGGUAGGCUAAUCGAACAUGCUCAGUGAUUGCCGCGACAACUUAAAAAUUGUUUGGCUUUUUGGCUGGCUCGCACGGGAUGCUCUUUAUUGAGUGUCCCGAGUGGCUGGUAUGUUUACUUUGAAAAAAUUAG
rnacentral:rRNA from 1 species